AUUUGCCGAGUGAGGCGGCAUCGUCGCGUUUACCGAAACGAAAAAAUUUCUUAGCAUUCGACUCUUUGGAUAGGCAUAGGUGGGCAUAGGAUCGACUGCCUUGCCUUGAUUCUUGCUUGAUUCAAAUUUAGUCGAGUCGCAGCAGUUGAGACGGUCGGUUCGUGCCCGGUUCAUCAUUACAAUUCUCUCGAAAUUUCUACUUAUCACGGUGCUGUAUCAUCGGUUCCGAGCAAUUUCAGAAAUUGGUCCGUUAAGUUAGAUUUCUCUGUAUCGAUACGUUUGACAAAUAGUUUCGAAAGAAUUUGACUUCGAGAAAAAAAGGGAUCGGUUGAAACGCGUCUGUCGACGCAACGCCCGGUCUGGGUUAGGUCCGAGUUAGCAACCUGGCAAAGAAAUAGUUGCAAAAAAGGCGAGCAAGCGUAAUACCACGAAAACCCUUAAUGAGAUAUCUAUUUUUUUUUUUUUUUUAAAUUCGAGACCCAAGACCUCGACGAGACGGACGAAAGCGUUUACAUUCGCGCAAAUUUGGCAAAGAAUCGAAUAGAAGUGCAACCGUACGCGUAACAUCACCAUUACUGUUUCACCAUAAGACGGGAGAUUAAAAAUAUGAAUGGAGUUCAGAGUUGGACAUACCCUCCGAAACAGGCUUUGUACGACCCGUCCCUCGAGAAAGAUGCUUGCGGCGUUGGAUUCAUCGUGGCGAUAGAUGGAAAAAGGUCGCACAAGAUCGUUCGCGACGCAGAGAUUCUAUCGGCACGCAUGAACCAUCGCGGUGCCUGCGCCUGUGAUAACGACACCGGAGACGGAGCCGGUCUAUUAUGCGCAAUUCCGCACGACUAUUAUGCCGAGCAAGUUCGAAAAGAACAAAAUAUCGAGCUGCCGCCGUUUGGUCGCUAUGCCACUGGAAUAUUGUUUCUGGAUAAGAACUCGCACGAACAGACGGAAACGCUGUUCGAACAGUUGGCCGAGGAAUGCAACCUCAGAGUAAUUUGUUGGCACGAUGUUCCAACCGACGAUACAAAGAUCGGUCGAGUGGCGCAGAAAUGCGAGCCUUAUAUGCGUCAAGUGUUCGUUACCGGUGAUCAAGACGAUGCCACUCUCGAACGUCAGGUUUUCGUAUUAAGAAAAAGAUCGUCCCACACUAUACCACGACCGGGAAUUAGAUACUACAUAUGUUCGCUCUCCUUGCGAAUUAUCGUGUACAAAGGCCAACUGACGGCGGAUCAGCUGUGGCUUUACUUUUUGGAUUUGAAGUCCCCAAAAUUUGAGACGUAUUUGGCAUUGGUUCAUACGAGAUUUUCCACCAACACGUUUCCAAGUUGGGAAAGGGCGCAUCCGCUUCGACUGUUGGCGCACAACGGAGAGAUCAAUACUUUAAGGGGAAACGUAAACUUUAUGAAAGCCCGAGAAGGUGUAAUGAGCAGCAAGCUGUACGGUGAACAAUUGAAGCAACUGUAUCCCGUGGUGGAACCGAAUUUGUCCGAUUCCGGAGCUGCCGAUUGCGUUCUCGAAUUCUUAGUGAUGGCUGGACAACGAUCUUUGCCAGAGGCUGUGAUGACAAUGGUCCCGGAAGCUUGGCAGAACGACCUGACGAUGGCAACCGAGAAGCGGAACUUUUAUCACUGGGCGGCUUGCGCGAUGGAACCUUGGGAUGGUCCGGCUCUUUUGACCUUUACCGAUGGCCGUUACGUUGGCGCUAUUCUCGACAGAAACGGCCUGCGCCCGUCGCGCUUCUACGUCACUAAGGAUAACAUGAUGGUGAUGGCGUCCGAAGUGGGCGUCUAUGAUACUCCGCCCAGCAAUGUAAUCCUGAAGAGCCGUUUGAAGCCCGGAAGAAUGCUGCUCGUUGACACUCUCGAGAAGAGGAUUAUACAAGAUGUUGAGCUAAAGUUGCAGAUUGCUAGAAGCAGACCUCAUUCCGACUGGUUAAAGGACCAGAUGAUCACGAUGGAAGAAUUGCGCGCAGCGGACGUGGAUGCACAGAACAGGGUCGCACCACCUUCUUGGACACAGGAAAUAAACACGAUGGCCGAUACGAAUCCGAUAUCUGCCGUGAAUCGAGUUUGGGGAGGCGAUAAGAGGCUUUCUCUCUAUGGAUACACGCUCGAGACUAUAAACAUGUUGCUGCUACCGAUGAUGCAGUCAAAGAAAGAAGCGUUAGGCUCGAUGGGAAACGAUGCGCCCCUCGCUUGUCUUUCCCAGUUUCAGCCACUGAUCUACGAGUACUUUAAACAGCUGUUUGCGCAGGUUACGAAUCCUCCGAUCGACCCGUUUCGAGAAAAGAUCGUGAUGUCUAUGCUUUGCCCGAUCGGACCAGAGAGUAAUAUCUUGGAGCCAAACGAAUUGCAAGUUCAUCGAUUAUUUUUACCACAACCCAUAUUAUCGUUGGAAGAUUUGGACGUGAUCAAACGAACAAAGUAUCGCAAUUGGAAGAGCAAAACUAUCGAUACGACCUAUCCCGUGGAGAACGGUCCGUCCGGUUUGUUGGCUACGCUGGAACGCGUUAACCGCGAAGCGAAUCAGGCCGCAAGGGACGGCUAUCAGUUUCUAAUUCUUUCGGAUCGUCGCGGAGGUCCGGAUAGAGUACCUGUGAGCAGUCUACUGACUCUCGGUGCGGUGCAUCACAAUUUAAUCGAAGAAAGGCAACGUAUGAAGGUCGGUCUUGUCGUUGAAACCGCCGAGGCCAGGGAGGUACAUCAGAUUUGUUUGCUACUCGGUUAUGGAGCGGACGCGAUUUGUCCGUACCUCGUGUUCGAGAUGGCGAGAAAUCUUCGCGCGGACGGCGUACUCGAUUCGUCGUUGACCGACAAUGCAUUAUGCGCGAAUUACGCGGAAGCGAUGGAAAGGGGUAUUGCGAAGGUUAUGGCGAAAAUGGGAAUCUCCACGUUGCAAUCGUACAAAGGAGCACAAAUUUUCGAAGCGGUCGGUUUGUCGAACGAAGUGAUCGACAAAUGUUUCAAGGGCACACAGUCGCGCAUCGGUGGUGUCACGUUCGAGAUUUUGGCGAGGGAGGCGUACGAGAGACAUCAGAUGACCUACUUGGACAAACGAAUGGAUAUGCUCGUUAUUCGGAAUCCAGGAAUUUAUCAUUGGCGUGCCGGUGGAGAGAAACACAUAAACGAUCCCGACAGUGUCGCCAAUCUACAAGAUUACGUUACUUCGAAAAACCAAAAUGCGUAUGAAAAAUACCGGAAGACGACAAUGGAGAUGGUAAGGGCUUGUACAUUGCGAGGACAGUUGGAAUUUAUCGAAACCCCGGACAAUUCUAUACCCGUCGAUCAAGUCGAACCUGCUUCCGAAAUUGUAAAACGUUUUGCAACCGGUGCCAUGAGCUUUGGCAGUAUUUCAAUGGAAGCACAUUCGACUUUAGCGAUCGCAAUGAAUCGUAUCGGAGGCAAAUCGAAUACCGGCGAAGGAGGCGAGAACGCGGAUAGAUAUCUCUAUCAAGAUCCAGAAUUUAAUAAACGAUCUGCUAUCAAGCAAGUUGCCAGUGGCCGGUUCGGAGUAACCUCGAGCUAUUUGGCGAACGCUGACGAUCUCCAAAUUAAAAUGGCGCAAGGAGCAAAACCGGGCGAAGGUGGUGAAUUGCCUGGUUACAAGGUUACCGCAGAAAUAGCUGCAACGAGGCAUUCGGUACCAGGCGUGGGAUUAAUUUCACCACCACCUCAUCACGACAUCUAUUCGAUCGAGGACCUCGCAGAACUUAUUUACGAUUUAAAAUGUGCAAACCCCAAAGCCCGUAUUUCUGUGAAACUCGUUUCGGAAGUUGGAGUGGGUGUAGUCGCGGCAGGUGUGGCCAAGGGAAAAGCGGAACAUAUCGUAAUAUCUGGUCACGAUGGUGGAACCGGUGCCAGUAGCUGGACCGGGAUCAAAUCCGCGGGUUUACCGUGGGAGUUGGGAAUCGCGGAAACGCAUCAGGUACUAACCUUGAACAACCUUCGUUCGCGAGUCGUGGUUCAGGCAGACGGACAAUUGCGCACGGGAUUCGACAUCAUGGUAGCGGCUAUAUUGGGCGCGGACGAAUUUGGAUUCAGCACCGCGCCGCUGAUCUCUUUGGGCUGCACGAUGAUGAGGAAAUGUCACUUGAACACGUGCCCUGUAGGCAUCGCGACGCAGGAUCCAGCGCUGCGAAAGAAAUUCGAAGGGAAACCGGAACAUGUUAUCAACUUUUUCUUCGCGUUAGCGGACGAGGUACGCUCGUACAUGGCUGCGCUGGGAAUCCGUAAGUUUCAAGAUCUGAUUGGACGUACCGAUCUGUUGAGGGUUCGAAAAAACGUGUCCAUCGAGAAAGCUAGAAUGCUAAACCUCGAUAAUAUUUUGCGCAGUGCGCUGGAACUCCGACCAGGAGUGAACAUUAAAGGUGGAUCGAUGACACAGGACUUCCAACUGGAAAAUCGUCUAGACAAUCGUGUGAUCGAGAUGGCAAGGGAUGUGCUAGAUGGGAAACGGAAUUCGGUCGACAUUCAAUUAGAUAUCAAUAACGAGUGUCGAGCAUUCGUGUCGACUUUAAGCUAUCAUAUUUCAAAAUUGUACGGCGAAGACGGUCUUCCCGAGGGUAGUAUCAACAUACGAAUGAAGGGUUCUGCUGGACAGAGCUUUUGCGCUUUCAUGACUAAAGGUGUUCACGUCACUCUCGAGGGCGAUGCGAACGACUACGUUGGAAAAGGUCUAUGCGGCGGAGAGAUCGUUAUAUAUCCGCCGAAGGAAUCUACUUUCGAUUCCGAUGCGAACGUGAUCGUCGGCAAUGUUUGUCUUUACGGCGCAACAUCCGGUAAAGCUUACUUCCGGGGUAUCGCUGCAGAAAGAUUCAGCGUUCGCAACAGCGGAGCGACGGUUGUGGUAGAAGGUGUGGGAGAUCAUGGCUGCGAAUACAUGACCGGCGGGUGCGCGAUCAUUUUGGGCUUAACCGGGCGAAAUUUCGCGGCUGGAAUGUCCGGCGGAACUGCUUACGUGUUGGACGUGGACGGCUCUUUCAAGAGCAAAUGCAACCCCGAAAUGGUGGAAUUACUUCCGCUGGUCAACCCGGAAGAUAUAAUUUACGUAAAAACUCUUCUGGAAGAGUUUGUCGAAAAGACUGAUUCCUUGAUCGCGAAGGAUUUGCUAAUGCUGUGGCCUGAACCGACAACACGAUUUGUCAAAGUAUUUCCGUACGAGUAUCAGCGUGCUCUGAAACAACUCGAGGAAACCAAACUUGCGCAACCAAUCUUGAAUGGAAAUACUCGAACUCCGUUGAAUCAAUUGAAAGAUAUCGAGGAUGCUAUCGUGGAUGUUGACAUGGAACAGCGAAAAUUAGACAAAAUAAGAGGAUUUAUGAAGUACAGGAGACAAACGAGCGUGUAUCGGCCUGCCAAGGAUCGUCUAAACGAUUGGGACGAAAUCUAUAAUUUCCAAGGUGUUCGCAAAGGCUUGCGUACCCAAGCUGCAAGAUGUAUGGAAUGCGGCGUGCCGUUCUGUCAAAGCAGUCACGGCUGCCCACUAGGAAACAUUAUUCCGAAGUGGAACGAUCUCGUUUUUCAGUCAAAUUGGAAGGAAGCUUUGAACCAAUUGCUACAAACUAAUAACUUUCCAGAAUUCACAGGGAGAGUUUGUCCCGCUCCAUGCGAGGGUGCUUGUGUCUUGGGGAUAUCCGAACCAGCUGUCACUAUCAAAAAUAUCGAGUGCGCCAUCAUUGAUCACGCGUUCGAGCAGGGUUGGAUCGUGCCGCAACCGCCUAAAACGAGAACCGGUCGGCGAGUAGCCGUAAUCGGUUCGGGACCGGCGGGCUUGGCUGCGGCUCAACAGUUGAACAAGGCGGGACAUUCCGUGACAGUUUUCGAAAGAAACGAUCGAAUCGGCGGUCUUCUGCGGUACGGAAUACCGAGUAUGAAGCUGUCGAAACUGCUCGUUGAAAGAAGAGUGGCCCUUCUCGGUGCAGAGGGAAUUGUCUUCAAAUCGAGCGUCGAUGUUGGAAAAGAUAUCUCUGCUCAGACUCUGCGCGAGCAGUAUGACGCGUUGUUGCUUUGCACUGGGGCGACCCGACCGAGAGACUUGGAUAUACCUGGUCGACAACUCGACGGUAUUCACUUCGCUGUCAACUUCCUGGAGCAUUCGCAAAGAAGACAAAUAGAUAAGUUUACUCCUCCCGACAUGCGUUUGAUGGCUACGGACAAGGACGUUAUCAUAAUAGGUGGUGGUGACACUGGAUGCGACUGCAUAGCCACAUCGUUGCGACAGUGUGCCAACACGAUCACGACGUUUGAGAUUUUACCGGAACCUCCGACCAAGAGGGCUGCAGAUAAUCCCUGGCCUCAAUUUCCACGUGUAUUCAAAGUGGACUACGGUCACGAAGAGGUGUCUCUCAAGUUUGGACGAGAUCCGCGUCAGUUUAGCAUUUUAACUAAAGAAUUCCUAGAUGAUGGGCAGGGUCAUGUGAGUGGAAUCAAAACGACCACGGUUUCAUGGACGAUGGAAAACGGCCGCUGGAAGAUGGAACAAGUUCCUGGAACGGAGAAGGUAUACAAAUGCGACUUGGUAUUACUCGCGAUGGGAUUUUUGGGUCCUGAAACGUACAUUGCAACCGAAUUAGAUACCUCUAUGGAUGAGAGAGGCAAUUAUAAAACUACACCCGGUGAAUACCAAACAAGUUUGAACGGAACAUACGCGGCUGGUGAUUGCCGACGUGGACAGUCUUUGGUCGUUUGGGCGAUCACAGAAGGCAGGCAAGCCGCGAGGGAGAUAGAUCUGGCACUGAUGGGCUCGACCGGGCUUCCUGUAUCCGGUGGCGUUAUAACAAGCGUUAUGGCUUGAACUAGCUCUCAAUUAUUUUUCACUCGAACGAUCUAUUUUUUUUCUGUCAUUCCCUAUUAGUCCUGCGACUAUGUGCUCGUGCGUGUGCGCGCGCGAGAAAGAGAGAGAGAGAGAGAGAGAGAGAGAGAGAGAUGAGAGAGAGAGAGAGAGAGAGAGAGAGAGAGAGAGAGAUGGUUAAGUCUGCGCGAGAACCAGUUAAAACGAGAUCAGUAUUAUUUAAAACUUCGGAAAGCGUGGACACGUUUGUUGAUCUGCGAGAUCUCGUUUCGCGUUCAAAACUCGUUGAAAUUCUUUCGACUGGAAUUGCAACGAUCAUUUGGCCAAUCGAUAAUUCGUUCGUUCGUUUGUUUGUUUUUUUAUGCAAUUUGUUUGCAUUACCACCGUGUAUUUAUCGUGAUUAGUUUUGUCGAAAUUUAUUUAUCUACCGUCAUUUAUGGUCCUUGUUACGUUUCGUUUUACUGUUUUUUGUCUUGCAAGAUUCCGAAAUCUUUUUAAUGUUAUACGAGACUCCUUGGUUUUGAUCGAUUUGCACGAUUAUGCGAAGAAGGAGAAUCGUUCAUCGAAAGAUUAGUUUUUUUGCGAAUCGCAUUCGAGACGUAAUGCUGCACUACGUUACACGUAUUUUCCGAGCAUCAGAUACUAAAUGCGAAUGUAGCGUGCACCUAUACAUAUAUCCUAUAUAUAGAUCUCUUGGAUUUUGUUAUUUUUUUCUAGUUUUCGAGCAUCGAGUAGAGAGGGUAGAAUGUAUUGUAACGUGAUCUAUUGUUAAACCAAUCCACUUGACAAAUUGAUCGCAUGGUAUUUAUUCGUCUUGGCGUAACAACGCGUCUAGAGAUUUAUAUUAUAAAACUAUGUACAAAUGUUUCAUAUACCAACGAACUAGUUUAAUCGAUGUGUUCCGCGCCCGCCAUUGUAAAGCGUACGCAAAGAAAGGAACAUUUUAUGACAAUAACUGAACGAGUGAAUGAAUAAAAUACAGAGAAGUGCUAUGCAAUAAACGUCGAAACGUAUCAAGAUAUCAACAAAAAUGCUGCAAAGUGGUAUGCGAACCUUGUCGCGAACACUAGAACUCUAAAGCUUUGAACGAAGUUUGUUCUAUAUCGUUUCUCUUGGAGAAACAAGCAAGCAAUUCAAGCCAAAACGAUAAUAUGAGUUAUAAAAUGUUUGAAGCAAAUGCGAUUACUCGGUGUGUUCCUGAUCAAUUUCCGGAGCUGAAAUGGCAGGAAUUUGCGCGGAAAGAACAGAUAGAACACCUGAUCGUUUCAAUUUGUAACGAAAUCAUCGAUGCUGCUGCGAACGAAAUCUGCGAACACUAUUUGAAAAGAAAGUCGUUCGAGUUCAUAAAUAGGUGCCUUCGCACGAUAUGGCUACGUGUAUUUAACGCAAGUAUCGAUACCCGGAUGAAAUAAUUAAACAAAAACCUAUUCGUCGACCCCUGAAAACGAGCUGCGAUACUAUUAACCUUUUCGUUUCGUUCCAUAGUGGCUGGAACUUUAUCCAAAAAUAAAUGACAUCCUGUCGAUCUCGAUUUCGGAAAAA